rnacentral:rRNA from 1 species
ACAGCAGCAGCCGCGGGAAUACAGAGGGUGCGAGCGUUUAUCGGAUUUACUGGGCGUAAAGCGUGCGUAGGCGGCUUCUUAAGUCGGAUGUGAAAUCCCUGAGCUUAACUUAGGAAUUGCAUUCGAUACUGGGAAGCUAGAGUAUGGGAGAGGAUGGUAGAAUUCCAGGUGUAGCGGUGAAAUGCGUAGAGAUCUGGAGGAAUACCGAUGGCGAAGGCAGCCAUCUGGCCUAAUACUGACGCUGAGGUACGAAAGCAUGGGGAGCAAACAGGAUUAGAUACCCCUGUAGUCCCUGUCUCUUAUAC